GUUGACCGGAAAGAAGGAGGAGCCUCACCGGAUCCCACCUCUGAAGUCAGGCGCCCCAGGCGCCGUUGCCCUCUGCUGGCCUUGCGAGGUCUUUCUAGGCGUGGAGGCGCAGGACCGCGGCUGGCUGGGCCCCAACGCCGCGCCCUACGCUGCACCUGGCGCCGGGCGGGCCCCGCGAGGCUGCCGCAGUUCUCUGAGUGGAGAAGCCGCGGGCCGGGCCGGGCCGCGACUGGUAAUGGCAGACGGCAGACGCGGCCAGCCCUGGUGCUGGCGCUCCGCAGAACGUCAUUUUAGGGUGUAAAGUCAACUGGCCAGCAGAUCCAGCACUCAAGGAAACUGUUCUGCAGCUUGAAAGGCUCUCACCGCAAUCUAACAAGAAUUCCACUGGGCCAGGUGUUGCCAUGUGUGCCUUUGAUCUGAGCACUCAGGAGGCUGAAACAAGAGGAUUGCCACAUGCUGAAGACCAGCAAAGAUUUGCACCUUGCAGUUUUUGGAUUUUUGUCUCUGUAUGUCAUUUAAAUAGCAAGUUUCAAGUGAAAUGAAUUUGCGAUGUUUGGGGAACUCUCCUAAUCUGUAAUUGCUUUUUAGCUUCAGUUAACACUCUAACCUAGAAUCGGUCAUUUUAAAUAACACUAAAGUGACUGUGUACUCUUAAAAGGGGAAUGUCUUAGUCAUAGAAAAGACACCUGGUCUGAUAUCUGAGGAGCAGGUGCAGUUUUGGACAUUCACAAGGUCCCAGCAUUUAAUUGUAAUACUUGUGUGCAUUUCUGCAUUUGUCAGUCAGGAUGCAAAGAGGUCUCCAGAGUGUCAGCAGGUGGUAGUUCAUAGUGGGGUUAUGAGUAACUGUCUUCUGUUCUCUCUGUGUCUGUUUCUCCCCUCACACAUCUGCGCAUGCACAUACAUAAUGGGGGUUGCACCCUGGCAAUGCUGAUGUACAGUAACAUUCAUGCCCAUUUUCACUUCUGUUUAGAGAAAAGCUCUUGCCAACUUACCAAGGCUGGCUUCAGACUUGGAACCCUCCUGAACAACUGGGAUUACAAGCAUGUACUGCCGUGUCCAGUAUAGCUCUUUAUUAAUUAGGAGCUACUGAUCAUGUUUAUGGUGGCACACACAAGAUUUAAAUAUUUUAGAAGCCACAUUUUAAAAAGCAGAAAGACAGGACUGGGUGUGUAUAGCUAAGUGGUAGAACACUUGCCUAGCAUGUACCAGACCCUGUUCGAAUCCCCAGCACUAUAAAAAUAAAUAAAUGAAGAUGUAAUGAAUGUCUUUAAA